GCCUGGAUAGUGCAGUUGGUUAGAGCACAGUGCUGAUAACGCCAAGGUUGCAGGUUUGAUCCCCGUAUGGGGCA
rnacentral:tRNA from 1 species